rnacentral:rRNA from 1 species
UACAGAGGUCUCAAGCGUUGUUCGGAUUCAUUGGGCGUAAAGGGUGCGUAGGCGGCGCGGUAAGUCGGGUGUGAAAUCUUGGAGCUUAACUCCGAAACUGCAUUCGAUACUGCCGUGCUUGAGGACUGGAGAGGAGACUGGAAUUUACGGUGUAGCGGUGAAAUGCGUAGAUAUCGGAAGGAACGCCCGUGGCGAAAGCGAGGUCCUGGACGUCUGCUGACGCUGAGACGCGAAAGCCAGGGGAGCGGAACGGG